UUAAAUAGUGUUGAAUUAUUUUCAUUUGCACGAUUAAGAAGGGAUUUGUCAUCGUAACUAAGGCUAUCCAUUUAUAACUAUAAGCUCGGUUUAAUUUCAUAUGUUGUUUGUGAUUGUAGGUANNNNNNNNNNNNNNNNGAUUGUAGGUAAAUCUUAAGAACACCAAUGACCUAUGUGAGUGAUGAUCACAGCUUGUGAAAUUAAACUCCUAAUUUAAUCUUAUAGUUAAACAACAUUGAUGAACAUGAGGUAUACAUCUAAUUUUUCAAUUUCCAUUUGCCAACCCCACGUUUACACAACAUCAUCACAUAACUAACCAUGCACAAACAUAAUGGGAAUAAACACAAUAUUAAAAACGACACAACUGGCCGCCCCCACCAUAAUUAAACACUGAUUUUUAAUUUAGGAUCGGAUAAUCAAAUUUUGGGAUUAAUUCAGAAUUUGAUUUCCCUUAAAUUAUUUUCAAUUUUCAAUUCAUUUCCCCAUUUACUUCUUGGCGGUGGCGUUGUUGAUGGCCUGCUUCCCCUGCUCAACGUAGUGGGUGGUGCCGGCGACCACCGUGUCCUUGGCGCCGAUCACCGCCUCCUUGGUGUUGGCCACGAUCCCCGGCGCUGCCGGUGCAACUAUGGCGGGCUUCUUCUCCUCGACCUUGCCGCCGCCGGGCAUCAUGUCUUGGGCUUUCUUCAAUAGUCCGUCCAUAACUAGCUAUAAGCAAAUUGGAUUCAAAGAGAUGGGAAAUUGGUACGUAAGAGAUUUUAGUGUGUGUUGAUGGGUUCACGGGACAUGGUACGUACUAGUUAUAUAGUGGUACAAUUUUUUGGAAGUUUGGAAGAUACUUUGUAUAUCUUAUUAGAUCAUUGGUUUGGCUUUUUUGUGUAUGUGGCUUACGAUUGGCUUGCCGACAUCGAACUGAACAGGUUUUACGUGAUAGUAUUUACACGUUGCUGAAACUAUAAGGUGCUUUUUCUUUUAACAUGAAUAUAAAGAUAAAAGGUGGGACCAUUUACAAGCGGAGUCACUCGCAAGUAGUUCGGCUUUGAAAUAUUUGUUCGUGAUUCGGUUUGAUUUCACAUGAGUCAUAUAUAAAUUAAUAUAUAUUCGAUUUGAUAGACUCUCGAGCUAGUUCGAAGUUGAUAACUAGCUCAAGUACCGUAUGGAUCAGUAGUAAACUCAAUAAUAUGCAACGUGUAUUUGCUUCAAAUUAAAUCACAUGUAAUUUGUAAUUGUGAUAUUGGAUACGCAAGUGGUACAUUGUCUAAGUUUACCUAUUUUAAGCGAGAAAAGUAGAAACUUGUAAAUUUUAGGAUAAUUUGCUUUUAUAGCUUUGACUCGUUGAUGUUUCUAGAAUAUAAGCUUCCAAUUCUGCUCAAAUUGGACUCAUACAGGGGUUUUAAUGAGCGAAGUUCGAAUUAUAUUCGAAUUUCAUUUGAAUAAGCUCUAACUCGACGUACAUACUAAAAAUUUUAACUCAAACUCGCUGAAAAAGUAACGAACCAAUCUUAAACAUAAUACAUUUUGACUCAAUUCAAUCCGUAAAUAAUUCUAAAAAAUGACGAGUAAGAUGGUUUUAAUGCAUCUAGUCAUGUAGAUAAUUUGAAUGGUUUAAUGAAUAUAGAUGAAUAAUUUGGAAGAAAAAUAUUUUUUGUUAUUUGUCGUUUGCCUUUUGAACUUGUUGUGGAGUUGGAAGAGUAGUAGCUAGCCACACAAAUAACCAAGGAUGUGGCUUUUUUGGGAAGCCAUCAAGCCAAGCCAGAUGAUGGGUUGGUUUUUGUCUUCUUUCCAUAAUAAUCUGACCGAAUUUGAGUAAAUAUCAAACCGAAAAAAUAUAGGACCAAGAAAAGCCAACAGUGGUAUUGUUGCCGACAUACACAAACAAUAAUGUCGACCACGGAGGUUUUGUGGAUAUGCUUUCGAGAUGCCCCAUAGCCAAUGGCACUUUGCCAUAUUUUGCUUCCUUCUUGGAUAUUAUUUGAACUCUCAUCUCUGUGAUAUUCCAAUAAGGAAAGAGAUUUAUUACAAUCUCCCAAUAAGGAAAGAGUUUCUAAGAGGAUGAAAAUUUAUAUGCCGAUUUUAUAUUUAACGAUAUAUGUUAUGCAAUUAGGUAUGUAACCUAUCAUCGUAUUUUUGACAUUAAUAUUUAUGUUAAUUGAUCCAAUGUGGUUGAUAUACUAUGGAUUUUUCAAAUUACCCCUUCCGCAACUCAUCCUUUUCAUAAACGUAGUUUAGGUGAAAUAGUCUUUAAUACCAAUUAUUGCAAUCUUUUUAGUAGAACUAUUUUUUAAAAGUUGUAGCUUCAAAGAAAACAGUGUUUACAGGUUAUAGGCCAUAUAUGACACGUCUUAUAAUAAGCUAUGACUCACUUAUCCGUAGCAAAAAUGUUAUUAAAUAAAGUCUUUAGUCUUCGAUUUGUAGAGAUUUUGGUUGUAGAUGAAUAAUAACUCAUUUGAAUGUACAGUUCGUCAUAUAGAUUGUUUUGGUUGGGAACAAGCCCUUUUGGUUGGGAACGGGCCCUUUUUAUGGUGAAAAGAACAGGCCCUUCUUGGUAUGAAGACGUGAGCCUUUUGGUUGGAACAGGCCCUUUAUCUAGUUCUCUGUUGGACUCUGUACUAUUGGGCCAAGUGAUCAAUGAUGGAGCUAUUAACAAAGUAAAGGUUGGGUAAAAUCCCUUUUAUCUUAUAAAUAAAAUUCUUUUAAAAUCUCCAUAUUUUAGUAUUCAUGCGAUCAUAUCGUUAAUUUUAAUUGAGUAUAUGUUAUUGGUUUUUUUGAAUCUUAUGAUUUAUAAUAUAUGGAUAGAAAGGUAAUUAAAUUAUUUUUCGAAAUCCUGGUAAGAGAGUAAUGACCGAAAUACUAAACUGGAUAUCGAAUUUUUAUCACAAACAUAACACCAAGUAAAAAAAUUUAUUUGACAAUUAUUUAUAAACUAUCAUAAUAAAAUUUGAUUUUUUAACCAUUUUUAUAAUGCAUGUGAAUUUUGUGACUUCGCCAAUGCAAAUUAUAUACAUGAUUUGGAUUCUACGUCAGAGAUAUGAAGUAAGCUCAGACACCAUGAAAUAAGCAUAUAAAUUUCAAAGCAUGCAGCAGACUCUGGUCAUUCUGCUAGUUUAUUCAAACGACAAGAACAUGCAAUCAAUGCAUGAAUCAGUGCUGGGAAAUAAGGAAAGCAAAACACCACAAACAAACUGGAUAAGAGAAACACAUCUACGGAGGUCAGUGACGACAUAUAUGGUAGAGUGACCAAACUGAAUUGUUCCUCGUUCACUUGUUUUAUUCCGACGACGAACAUCGAUUCGAGUUCAUCAAAGCUGUCCGAAACCGAAAGGAGAUACGUAUCUAGGGUCGUUGCCUAAGAACACCUCGGCCGACAACUUGAUGGCGAACUCGGUCGGGUGAAAGCCAUCCCAAAACAAAUGUUCGUCACGGUUCCCACAAAUGGUAGACGUUUGGUUGCACGCCCCACUUCCCUCCCCGCAACACUGGACUUUCAACUCUUUUAUACCUGCAUGCACAUUGGUUCAGGAACAAAUAGUUGAUAUAUUUUUUUGAUUUAAUUAUUUACAAUUGUCCUUCUAGUAAUUAGUUGAGUAAGUACUCUUAAUUAGUUGAUUACCAAACAAGGCGCCGUUGGUGAUGAAAUCCAGAGAAAUGCUGAAGGCGUUUCCGAGGGAGACCUUAGCGUCGGGCGCGAACUCCCCAAGCUUGUUAGAAGCUAGAGUCACGCCGUCGAAGAAAGCUUGAGCCAGCAGAUUUGCUCCGUCGAUGCAGCCGCCGGUGUCGUUGAAUGAUCUCGCAAAUGGGCAGCACCCAACCGCCGGAAUCGCCACUAUCCCGAACUUUUUAGCUCCAUAUAUAUACAAAUCCUGCCAAAUGUACGUACUUCAAUACCAUUAUUAUUUCAUUCAAGUCUUACGGAAAAGGAAGUAACCGGAUGAAACCCGAAAGGAAGGAAAUGUCCAAGAUGGGCAAUUAAGGAGAUCAACAAUUCGAUUGUCUUCUCUGAAAGUGUGUGUGACCCGAACAUCCCAAUCUCGUUGAAGAAGAAGUUGCAACUUUGUGAAUGUUCGAUAAGUGUCGGGCUGACUCUAAAAGUUAGUUUACCAGAUUUUAAAACUUUUCAAUUUUUAUGAUACUUAUAUAUAUAGGAUAACCAAACAACACUUAUCUAUCAUAAUUGAUCGGACUAUUGUUAAUCACUUGAUAGGCACUACUCAUAUAGACCGAAAUAUGAGAAGUGUUAUUAGCUUAAGUUCUAAUACUACUUUAUCUUAGGCGUUCUCACCUCAAAAACUAACUAGCUCGAGAGGUCAUGCUUUCUCCAACCCAACAACAAAAUCAAUUUGAUUGUACCUGAAGUUGGGCUCCGUAUUCCUCAACCAAAGAGGUAACCAACUCCUUGCCGGAGAUGUUGAAAGGUGGCGUAGUAGGGUCCGCGGUAAGAUUUUGUAGGUAAUCGAAGAUGUCGUUGCUUCCGGAGCUGAUGAGAAACACGGACUCCGCCAGCAAGGUGGAGGCCGCCUUCGGACCUAACAAUGCCGACAGGUUUGAAGCCACCGUAAUAAAUUGUUCUAUCUGCGUUUUCAUAGGCACCACCUAAAAAUAAUUCGAUUCGAUCCACCAAGAUUGGAGUUAUAUAUACAAACAUCUUUGUAUCAUAUAUCAAACCGGUAAGGCUAAUAAUUGAGUACUUACACUGGAGGUAGGGCCGGUUGAGUCGAAAAUUCCGCUGCCGCCUGAGGCGAAGUUGACCCCCCUUGUUAUGGUUUGGUUGAAUUUUUUACUGCAUUUACCGCCGGCGACGAGGGAGAGGAACGGCGGCGGACUUCUAUGGAACCCCAUCUUCUGUACUAUUCCGGGGAAAAUGAAAUAGCAUAACGGUUAGUUUUACAGUCAAUGUGAACACCGAUUAGGCCCAUGGGCCAAAUAUGGUCUUCGGAAGUAAAUCAUUAAGCCCAAGAAGGACCUUCAUUUUGAUACAAACGGCUGGCUGGACCAAAUGAACCAUACAUAAACCACUCAUCAAGAAAGUCGGAUAAAAUUCUGAUAUUGUUACGUUUCAAUCAGCAUUUAGUUAUAAUUUGUAACAAAUUAAGUAAUUGAACGAUUGAACUCAUACUAAGAAAUUUACCAAUCCAAUAUUUUAAUAUGAUUUGGACACAUGGUAGGUAGAUUUAUAUCAAAUUAAACGAAUGAGUCACAUUUAAGGUUUGAAGGCUUCGCACCAUUGUGUUUAUCAUUAAUUUUUUGGUUUGUAAACAUUUUCAUUUUUUACAUUUCUUAGGACGUGUUGAGAUCGAUUUUACAUUUUGGAUAAAUCCUUAAAAAUUUCUGAAUAUACUAUAUUGAUCUUUCCCUUCCAACGAUGAAAAAAAACAUAAUCAUGUUUAAUCUUGAUAUUGCUAAUUAAUGAUCAGUAACUGAAACUAUUAUGAUAUUUACCAAGAUAGUCAGCAAGAUUGAAACCAUUGCUGAACCUUCCAAUGGGCAAAGAAGAAGAAGAAUCAAUCCCAUAAAACGGGAAGCUAGCCGUCACCGUGCUCGCCGCCAAGUAAUCAUUGGUCCCGACGUCGAAUACCGAGUCCCCAAAUAGGUACACCGCCGGGAUAGUAGAAGCCGAGGACGAACAUAGUGUAAUAGUGCAAACAAGUAGUAUCGCCGACGAAACUCUGAAUUUCGUGGCCAUUUUAAUUCUGUUUGUGCUUAGUUUGGGGUUCUCCACCUUGGCGGCUCUUAUUUAUAGAAGACACACGUUUCUUUGAAUUUGAAGUCGAAUAUAUUUUCCGGCUGAUUUAGUUACAUGCUUUUGUUUAGGACGAGGUUUCCGAUUGUAAGAACAUUUAGGUAUCUACGUCCAAGGUCGAUGAAUCUUCUUGGAAUUUGUACUUUGCUGUUGUGUUUCUUUGCUUUACAGUGGAUUCAAGGAGGUUUUCAUUUUCAUUAUUGGUAUGUAUGUUCUUUCAUUGGUAUUUAUUAUGGAAGUACAGUACAGUUCUGACUAAACUUUGGGUAGAGCAACAGAGUGGUUUGUAUGUAGUGGAAAUUGGUUAUCUGUUUGGGGUUAAAUUAGCAUUUUGAGGGUAGGCAAACGGUUUGGGUGAACUUUGCAGUUAUGGACAGUAGAAGGUGGUAAGUGAUUGCGAGUGGGAUCGAGCAUAUUGAGGAAUGUAGGGACUAUGACAAUCAGAUCAGUAUUGGGAUACCCGAUAGAGCGAAUCAGGUAGAGUAAUGAUAAAAAUGUUUGUUUAUACUGUCCAUUAAUGUUCUUUUUUUAUAUAUACUAAAAUGAAUUAUUCUGUUACCGAAAAUUUUAUAAAAUAAGUGAAGAUAGAUAAAAAAAAUUUAUUAUAGAAAACGUAUUAGCAAAAUGAAAGUGUGAGACAAUUUAAUGAUUGUUAAUUGAAGAAUGGAAAAUACCACAAGACUCAUAAAAAGGAAAAUAUAUGAGCUCAAAAUAAAGUCCCCGUAAAUUCAAAAUAAAAUUUCAAUAAACUCAAAAUAAAGCCUCAAUAAACUCAAAAUAAAGUCAUCAUAAGAGAACCAAAUGUAUUUAUUCAAUAGUAAUUCAUAUUCUCUUUUUAUAGAUAAUAAUUCGUGGUCGGAAUGAUAUAUGGUUUGGGGCCAUCAAUAAGUUUCUAUGUCUAGAGAUUAUGAUUUAUGAAAUUAGUUUAUCAAGGCAAAUUUGAUAACCCAAAUACGAACCAUGACCAUGGAAUAACUAAGCAGAAAAAUCAAAGGAGCAGACUCUAAUCGUUCUGCAAGUUUAUUUCAAAACCAGAAGCACAUGCAUGAAUGAGUGCUCUGAGGAACAAGGAAACAGAACACCACAAAUAACAAAAAGUUGUGAAAACAAACUGGAAAAAGUAACACAUUACGGAAGUCAGUGGAUAUGGUAGAGUGAUCAUUCAAAUUAUUUCUCGUUCACUUGUUUUAUUCCGAUGAUUUGAGUUCAUCAGAGCUGCCCGAAUCCGAUAGGAGAUACAAAUCUAGAAUCAUUGCCGAAAAACGCACUGGCAGACAAUUUGGUGACGAACUCGGUCGGGUGAAAGCCGUCCCAAAACAAAUGUUCGUCGCGAUUCCGACAAAGGGUAGAUGUUUGGUUGCACGCUGUGCUUCCUUCUCCGCAACACGGGACUUUCACCUCUUUCAAACCUGCACAUUGAUUAGUUUAAGUACGGAUAGUUGAAUUCAUUAUUCAUUUUAGUACAUUUAUAAUGUGCACAUUAGUUGAUUUAGUAUUAAUUAACUCUUACCAUGCACGGCACCGUGGUUGAUGAAAUCCAUAGUGAUGUUGAAGGCGUUACCGAGGGAGAACUUAACGUCGGGAGCUAACUCCGCAAGUUUCUUAGAAGCCAGAGUGACACCGUCGAAGAAAGCUUGAGCCAGCGAAUUCGCUCCGUCGAUGCAGCCCCCGGUUUCGUUGAACGAUCGCGCAAAUGGGCAGCACCCAAGUGCCGGAAUCGCCACUAUCGCGAACUUCUUUGCUCCGUUUAAAUAUAAUUCCUACAAAAUGUACGUACUUUUGAUAUUAUUUAUUUCAAAAUUAUUUCCUAACCACUCGAGUUAUAUCGAGAUUUAUUGGUUAACAUUGGUAUUAAAUAUUUUUUAUUUACUAUUUUAUUUUAUUAUGGAUCCCACUUGACCAAAAUUGAAUGAAAUCUAAUUGUACCUGAAGAUGGCCGCCGUAUUCCGUAAUCAAAGAGGUGACCAACUCUUUGCCGGAGACGUUGAAAUGAGGAGCAGCGGGGAAGGAGGAGAGAUUUCGUAUAUAAUUGAAGAUGUCGUUGCUUCCAACGCUGAUGAGAAACACAGACUCCGCGAUCAGGGUGGCAGCUGCAGUCGGGCCUAGCAAUGCCGACAGGUUUGCGGCCACCGUCGUAAAUUGUUCUAUCUGGGUUUUUAAAGGCACCACCUACAAAACAUUUUGAUCCACCGCCCGACACUGGAGUUAUACCAACAUUUUUUGUAUCACAUAUCGAACCGGUAAGGCUAAUUCAAUACUUACUCCGAUGGUCAAGCCGGUCGAGUCGAAAAUUCCACAACCGGCUGAGGCGAAGUUGACGCCCUUUGUUAUGGUUUCGUUAAAUUUUUUACUGCAGGCCCCGCCGGCGACGAGGGAGAGGAAAGGCGGCGGACUUCCGGUGAACCCCAUCUUCUUUACUGUCGCGGUAAAAAAUGAAAUAGCAUAACAGUUAGCUCUACCCAGUCGAUGUGAGCUCUGAUCAAGCCUAUGGGCCCAACAUGGUCUAUGGGAGUAAGCCCUUAAGCCCAAAAAUGAAGGUGCCAUUGAUUAGGGCGGUUUAUGAACCGAGUUGAGCUUAACUUCAUCAUGCUCAACUUUGACUUCGUUAAUUUUUAGCCGAACUCGAGCUAAAUUUUUUUAAUUUGUGUCGAGCUCGAGUCUAACUCGCUAAUUACCAUCAAUGAGUCAAACUCAACCUCAACUAAAACUAUGAAAUUUGAAAUAUGAAAUAUAUACACAUCGCCAAAUUAAAUUAAAAAGCAAGCUACAAUCAUUACCGAUUUGGUCAGCAAGAUUGAAGCCAUUGCUGAACCUUCCAAUGGGCAAAGAAGAAGAAGAGUCAAUCCCAUAAAACGGGAAGCUAGCCGUGGCCGUGCUCGCCGGCAAGUAAUCAUUGGUCCCGACAUCGACUAUCGAGUCCCCAAAUAUGUACACCGCCGGGAAAGUACAAGCCGACGACGGUGAACAUGAAACACAGAGGUGGUUGUUAUCAAUAUUGAGAAACAAGAAGCAAACAAGUAGUAUUGCCGACGAAACCCUGAAUGCCGUCGCCAUUAAUUUUGAAUUUGUUGCUGUUUGGUUUGGGGUUCUCGAUCCUGGGCGGCUUCUAUUUAUAUAAGAGACACGUGUCAUUGAAUUUUAUGUCGAAUAUAUAUAUUGCGGCUGAUUUUUACAAUUUACAUGUUUGUUUUCCAUUUCUUGUCCGGUUAUAAUUUAAUGUUAUUUUAGAGGCGAGUUUUUCGAUUGGGAAGAACAUUUAGGUGUAGACGUCCAAGCCCUACUAGGUCGACGAAUCUGGUUAGAUUUUGUACUUUGGUGUUGUGUUUUUUGGUGUAGAAUGGACUAAAUGUGGUUUUGUCAUUUUGAUUCUACUUUUUAUUUAGAAACGGUGGACAUUAGGUCAUCAUCAUUAGUAGAAAUAAAAUGAUAUAGCGCGAUACUUAAACGAUCAGUGCGAAUAUAGUUAACAUCCGUAAAAAUAAAACUUAAACACAGGAUGGAAACCAAAGGGAAAAGAGUGGCAUGGUGACAAGAACAUGCGUAACUCGAUUGUCUUCACAAAAAAUAUACGUGAUUUGUACAACCCAAUAUCUUUCUAGGAGAUGUUGCAUUAGUGUAUAAGAGAUGUCAAAAAUCAUCAAAAGGGUGGUCUCCCAAAAUACUUAAAAUUGCACAUUAAGAAUCUAGUUGCAAGUUCAACUUUUGAAAGCCCGAUUCCAACCAAGUAUAGUGUGGUUUACAGGGAGAGAGUGAAUGAACGAUUUGUAUGAACCUCAUAAGUAUUAGAAAGUGGUUUAUAAGAGACUAUUUUACGAGUCGAACGCUAAUUAGUUGCUCACGAGAGCGGCUUGGCUUGUUACCUAAAACUCAUUACGAGUUACUUAUCAAGUUGGUUCGCAAGUUUGACUCAACUCGAACCUAUCAAGAUGAAUCAAAAUUAACUCGAGCUCAAUUCAUUUAAUUUACUGUUAACUUAAACCUAUCAAGACGAAUUAAAAUUAGCUCGAACUCAACUCAUUUAAUUUAUUUUUAUGUCCAACCCCCUCGAACUUUUUAAUCGUUUUCCGAACCGAAUACCGGAUGGGAGACAAAUAGCUUGUAAUUACAAAAAGUUAGCUGCUGAGAAUAAAUUUUGGUAAAUGCUGCAUACUGAUGUGCUAUAUUUUCGACACACUUAUUCUCGUUAUAAACUAUAUUUUUUGUGUAUGAAAAUGUAUUCAAAAUUAGAUUUUGAACUUUCUUACCCCUCGAGAGCCGUAUUACAUUGUUUGGGAUGUUUUUAUGCAUUACAGGCGAUUUGUGGCGUUUGGGGACAAGCCACUAAACACUCCAUGUUCCUAAAAAACACAGGCAUGUCCUUUUAAAAAGCGCUUUCGGAUGAAACAUCCAGAGAAAAGAACACGGGUUUGUCCUUGAGGAACACGACGUGUUCAAGAAAAGAACAUGUCGUGUUCUUCUUUCAGGUACGGGUACUGCAUUCUCUCUUCUUCCUUCGAUUUUCUUCAUUCAUCUUCUCCCCCCUCUCGACAAACCCGACGAAAAUCUUUCAGGUACGGGGCCCGCCAGACUGCUCCCCGGGAUGCGCAGGUUCAAGUUUUGAGCGAGCAUGUCGACACUCUCUCGGGAUGGGUCUACUCUCUACAGGCUACCGUUGCUGAGAUGUAUGCUUAUCGGCAGUACACUUUUCAGGAGCAGCAACGCUACUAUGCCUUCACUCACCCAGAUUAUCCUCCUGGUGUACCAUUCUAGUAUCAUCCACCUUCCCCACCAUAUGACAUGGAUGAACAGUAGCACGUCCAUUCAGUUUCAUGAUGGUUACUUGUCAUAUCCAGAACUUGUGUUUUAUGUCUUUAUUUUUUAUUGUGUAUCGUGGUUGAACUUAUGUUAGGUUGUGUUUCAUUUCGUUUGCUAUAGAUUGAUGUAACGGAUUGACAGUAGCCUUUCUUCUUUUCCUUCUUUCAUGUCUCUAUGGUUGUAGGACUCUUUUCUUAUCUCAAAGAAGUUUCGAUCUCAAAUGUCGUCUGAAUAGAGCCCUGGUCCUCGUCCAGGCUCUACAUUGGUUUGCUCUCACGAUAUCAAGUUAGUACCAUAUUUUCUACCCUUUCUCCCUUCAUUGUUUGGUCCAUUGGGGACAAUGUCCUAUUCAAGUGUGGGAUGAAUUAGGGUAUUUCUAAAUGCGGGUUCAUAACUUGUGAGUAAUAUUGUUGAAUGGUUGUCCUUACUUUUCGAACUCCCUCUUGAGCUUAGUUUGUGGAUGUUAGUGAAUGCAUGUUUAGUGUUCUCAUUCUAUUUGUGGAUGUGAGGAUGUCAUUUUCGAACCACCAGUCAUUUUGCCAAAAUUAGUAUACUAGAAACUCAUAUACAUAUGUUAAAAAUGAAUUGCUACCUUCCACUAUUUUGAUCUAUGUUGAGUUAGAGUGUAUGUGUAUCCAUCCAACAAAUUUUUCUAGGUGUUAUGAAGCUUAAAACAGGCGGGAGGAGUAAGAAUAAGGUUGCUAAAAUAAAAAAUGUUGCGGGGGUUCAAUUGCAACUGAAACACGUAGGGUGACCCUAGAGGUCAGCCGCCUUCCCAACCUUUAUGAGGUUUAGAACGUGGGCCGAAGAUUGGUUACUUGUAUUUGAAUAAAGCCGCUACCUAAAAAGUAAUAAAGAAAGAAAGCAAAGAAAAAACAUUUUAAUAUUCGAGCUUUGCUUUCAGUAAUCUAUAAUGUUUGAUAGUCAAGUAAGCAACUCAAAAUAAGAGAGAGGUGUUAGUAUAACUUGAAUGCUAUUAAAAAUUGAAGCACCUCCUCCCUCAGGACGGAAGAGAAAUCUCAGUUAGGGCGAGUCGUCGGUCUAUUACUUCCGCUGGCAACUAGAAGGUAUAAGUGUUUGGGGGAUAUGGAUACACUCUGGUGGUUAGGUGUCAAAUCAUUUAUACCAUAUGCAUGAGUCUAUCUUAUACUAAUUUAAGGGAUUCAGUAUUUCAUGCUUAAUUGUGUGGUUUGUUGAUUGACUUGCAUUCCUGAACACCAUGAUAAAAGGUUUGUCUUUUGUUCACCAUAUGUCGAGUUCUUUAUAGAGAGUGAUUAGUAGGUUUAUUUGAGGACAAGCAAGCAUUUAAGUGUGGCGUGAUUUGAUGUUUUGUAUUUUCGACACACUUAUUCUCGUUAUAAACUAUAUUUUUGUGUGUUGAAUUCAAACUAGGGAUUUUGAGUACAUGUUUGGUUCUCUUGCCCCUCGGGGCGGUAUUACGUUUGGGGACAAGCGAGAAGUAAUACGGGCGAUUGAAGUUGCUCGGAGCGAAGAUGGGUUGGAAUUUAAGAGGAACACAUCGUGUUCUUCAGGGACACACCCAUGUCCUUUUCUAUGAAAACCACACCCGAGAGCCUCUGUUAUGAGUAACAAACCCGUGUCUUUAAGGAACACGGCGUGUCCUACCUUCAGACGGGCUUUCAAAUUAUUUUCCUUCUCCAAUUUGAAAGAGACGAUAUAAAUAGCCCGAGUAGCCUUUUUGACGAGACACACAUUAUUCUACACAGAGAUUCGAGUUUUUAGAGAGAGAAAGAGUGUCAGAGAUCGAUUGAAGCGAGAGAACAUCACCGGUUGGAGACGGAUUGAAGAUCGGCGACAAGACGGAGAUUUCUUGACGAAGCAUGUUUUCUUCUCGGGUUAUUUUCCUUUCUUCUUCCUCUAUGGUUUCCAGAACCAUGAGUAGCUAAAUCUUUCGUGUUGUUUGGAUGAGAUGAAAUUUUAGUUUAGAUUUUGUAUGGAUGUUGGGGUUUUAACCCUUUGAUUUGUUAUCGAGGUUAUUCAAACUUAUGAUGUGUUCAUGCUGAACCUAAUUUCUGAUUCAAAUUUGUUUGAUCGCCUUAAUUGAAUCAUCGUCAUUAAUUUGUGGGUCCGAGAGGAACAUAGAUUGAUAGGUCGCUUAGGAAGAACUCUAGAUUGUUCGUUAGCUCGAGAGAGGAACAUAUCAUUUAGACUUUUUGCAUCAUGUAUCGUUGUGGUAUUUCAUCGAACACCUUUAAUUUGUUCUGUUAGGGUGUAGAUUAGCUCGAGAGAGGAACAUAUCAUUUAGACUUUUUGCAUCAUGUAUCGUUGUGGUAUUUCAUCGAACACCUUUAAUUUGUUCUGUUAGGGUGUAGAUUAGCUCGAGAGAGGAGUCUACAGUCGAGCAGGAUAGAUCUUUUGAGGCACGAGAGUGAUCUAAGACUAGCGUAGGAAAUCACCAAGCCAUUAUAAUCUGAAUAAUUGAGAUUGCAUAUCGUUCAUCCAUGCAUUGCUAGCUAUUGUGGAUUCGAGUCCGAACAACCUUCAUUCCCAUAUUUGAAACUCAAUUUCUUGCAUUUGCUUUGUUUUGAUUUGCAUUCUUAGUUGAUAAUUGGAUACAAAAACAAUGGAUAGUUUAAUACACCAAUAUAAAAACAAUCAAUCAAUCAUUAUUACUUGGUCUAGUUUGCAUAUCUAAGUUGAGUAAUAUCGUUAGAAAGACUUUAGAAAAAUAAACGAUUUCAUUAAAACAAUUUAAUGGGUAUUUAAUUAGCGGAAUAAAAUCCGCUCAUGACAUACUAACCAACCGACAAAACAAAACCAUACGUGGGGAAUUGAUAACAACUAAGAUCAAUAAGUACAAGAUGAUCAUCUGAUCAUGCACUUCGAUGUAUAUGUCGGAUGACUUUUGGGACCAUACGUUGCUUUAAAUAAUGACACACACUUACUUACCAAAAAGAUUUUAAAGCCAAACACUAACAACAAUCUGUAUUAAUUUAUUCUUCCCAACAACAUUGGUGUCUUUGAGGAGAUUUUGGAUCGUCAUGUUUGGAAUUUAGGAUAUAUUUCUCGGUGUGGAUUUAGGGUAUAUGAUGAUUGCAUUAGUUGGUUUAAUACCUUUUUAGUACAUCUUACGUAUUAGUUUUGAUUGGCAUUCCAAAUUUGGGUUAGUAUCGAUCCAUGAAUUUGUCAAAACCCUUAAGAGUGAGAAAGAAACAUCUAACUACAAUCAUGGCCCUCGUUGAUCUCUCAUAUAGCUUAAUGGCUUCCAACGGUUAAUAUGAUUCGGGUGAUGGUUCAAUUUAUAAAACAUGAUGACAUUUUAAUGGAUUGCCCCAACUUCAUGAAUUCGAUCAGUGGAAAAUCAAUCUACUCUAGGUUAAUUGAACAAAUUUGGUUUAACAAGGAUUUAGAAUUUAAAACCAUCUUAUUACUAAUUUACAAGAAUCAUACACAAUGAAUUAGAGUGUUAAAAUCUCAUGGCAAAAAUCGAGCUUGGACGAAUUCGAACAAUUAUCAUAUCCAAAUAAUUGUUACAAUUCGAUCCCCAUUACUAUUAUAAACCAUCAACAUUAAUGGUCACAUUUACUUCUAGCUGUAAAAUAUUUCUGUUUGUAUGAUAAACUUGGUAAAACGGUGUUACAUUCACCAUCGAUGACGAUUUUUUGUACUCUCUUCUCUUCCAAUUUUUGUCAAGCACCGUUUAGUCUCGAUAACUCAAAUUGUUGAGAUACAGUUCUGAUAAGUUUUAUAAUAUUUAUUAACAAUUAUCCUGAUCAAUUCAAGUCUUUCCUAAUAAGAACACACCUAUGCUUAAUGAAAUGUAAUGGUAGUAGACAAUUCGAUUACAUAGAACAUGAUUCAUAUUUAUUGUUCAUCAUGUCACAUACUAUAAGCUGAAGCAACCAACUGUAAAAACAAACCAUCUAGAUGUUUUAUUUUCCAUUAGGAGACCACUCUCAAAUAUCAAGAACUCAACUUGUUCACCAGCUGUUUCAAACUCACACCUUCACCAACAUCCUUCCUAACAUGCUCCUUAAUCUCCCCAACAACCUUCCUCAUCUUCACAUCGUCCAUCAACUCCUUAAUCCUCUCCCCAAUCUCUUCCCCCUUCACCAAGAAAUUUCCCAUCCAACCCCAUUCCCCACCCAUAAACCCUAGCCCACACCUCUCCACCACUCCCCCAUUCACCUUCUGAUCUCCAUUAGGCGGCCACCCCAUCAUAGGAACGCCGCACCAUGCAAACCCCACCACAAAGUUCCACCCGCAGCUCAAAAAUCCCCCCACAAAUUCGUGUCCAAUUAUGUCAGCCCGAUCCACCCACUCCUUCACCACCACCCCUCUCUUCCCAACCUCCUCCAUCAUCUCCUCUCCCAAAACAUCUUCCAACCUCUCUUUGUCCUUUUGGUCCACUUUGUCCUUCACCAUCCAGAUGAAAUGAACUCCUGAUCCGAUCAAUCUUUUCCCCAACUCUUUGAUUUGGUCUCUUGGCAGAGUCGUCCUGUUCCCAAAACUAACGUACACGACGGACUUUGCUGGCUUCCCUUCUAACCACUUCAACGCCAUUUCUGUUCCUGUAGUUAGAACAAAAAUCAUUAGUUUGGUCAUGACACAAUUAUGUCUAUUGUAUCAUGGCCACAUGGGUACUAAAAUGUCAUGAUAUAAAGUGUAGAAUACCCUAAGAUUCAUUUAUAAUUAAACAAGGGGCUAAACUGUAAAUGACAAAAUAACCACCACCAUUGGUUAUAAACAGGGUAAUGACUAAUGGUCCCCAAGAAUUGAAUACCAACUCAUUUUUUCAUAUCCAAUUAGAGAAAUUUUAAGAAGAGAGAAAACUACCUUCUUCAAAGAUCUUUCUGUACGUCCUGCCUUUGUUCUUCCAUUAUAGCAUGAAAUUGGAGACAUAACUAGGUCAAAACUGGACCCAAUUCUGAUAUGUGCGUCCAAUUCAGUUGGAUAUGUUUUUUUUAACACAAAACAUGGCCAGCCAUUCGAAUUGAUUUCUGCUUCGUUCGGGAUCCAAUUUCGAAAUUAUUUGGGUCCACCAAUCAUGUUCCAAUUUGAAUAUGAAUAUGGGCAGAAUUGAUAAUUUAUCACUAUUUUCAUCCUAUUCUAGCAAAGGUUAUAGGGCAAUAAACACAAAACACCUGAGCCUCUUUCCAACUUGGUCUCGAACCCAUGGGGGAUCAGUCCGAUGUUGAACAGAGGAGGCAAACGAUCAUCUACUUCCCCUGUUCUGAUCGCUUUCAGAGCUUCAGAUUCCAGGCAGUCAAACGACCACUCCAUCGAAUUUGGAGAGACACUCGCCGCUGGAUUUGAACAAGCUGGAGAACAGAGUCUCCGGGUUUAGAAGCACCGGCGGGAUCGACGAUCUGGACACGUCUCCGAUUCCGGGGACUUCGAAUUUCCCGGCGGAUUCCAGUUGGGUUUUGGAUAAAUUAGGGUAAUGGGAGAGAAAAUAAAACAUUCUGGCAGAGGACACGUAGAGGAUGUAGUUAGGGAUGUUGAGAGGUUGGGUGACGGAGAUGGUGGAGGAGAGUAACGAUACGUCGGAGAACAGAGCCGCUGGCGGCGGGGAAAGAGAAGAGAGGAUGGAAGAUAAGUUUGGGAGGGAUCGGCGGAUGGCUUCCCACUUGAGGCAAAAGGGGUCAGUGGAGUUGUGGAACUGCUGCUCGGAGACUUGUGGGUAAGCGGCGAGGAAUUUGGAAAUGAGAGAUGACUCUGCCUGAGAUACGAUUGGGUGGCUGGUGAUUAGGGUGACGUGGCAGUCUUGACUCAGUAAGUUUGCGGCUAGGCGGAGGAAUGGCAUGAGGUGGCCGGCGCCGGAGCUUGGGAGGAGGGCGACGUGGGCAGAGGGACGGCGGAGGAGGGAAUCGGCGGUGGUGGUUGUUGACAUGGUGGCGGCUUUGAAUUGUAGUGGUGGUCGGAGGGAGAAGGUUGAGUUGUUGGUUGGUUGUGGUUAGGAUACUUUAAUAUUUCAUUAAUGCAAAUUUAAACCGUGUUGGAGUUGAAGUGACUAAUUUCCUUUAGUUGCAACAGAACUUAAAUUUCAUUUGCUAAUAUUACGGUGCGUUUUCGCUUUCAUUUCUUGUUGUUUAAGCCAGAAAAUAAAAAACGAUAUGCAAGUCAAUAUUCUCUUCCACCGCUUUCUCAAACUCGCCGGAAAAACCUCUUCUAAACCUCCUUUCCAGAGUUCUCUCAUCAACAUCACCGGCGAGUGUGAUGGAGAUAGAUCCUCCGACGCAAGCUUCUGAGAUCCCUCAGAUCAAAGACGAAGACCUAUUCAAAGCCGCUGAGACCGGCGAUUGUUCGGUCCUCAGCUUGCUCCCUCCGCCGCAGCUCACAAAAUCCCUCUCCCUCCGGAACGACGACCGCCGCUCCCUCCUCCACGUCGCCUCUUCCUCCGGUCACACUGAGGUACUCCCAUUCGUGAAUCGAUUUCCAAUUUUUUUAUGUUCGUUGCUAAUGAGAAACCAAACUUGAUAAUUAUCAGGCGGUGAAGAUUCUAUUAGAGGUUGAAGGAUCUGAAAGCGUUGUGAACAUCACGGACGAGGAAGGUUGGGCGCCUCUGCACUCCGCCUCUAGCAUUGGCAGUGUUCCGAUCGUCGAAAUUUUGUUGAGUAAAGGUACACUUAACUAAUGCGUAAUAUAUGAGAAAUUUGGAGGUCGCCAUUUGAUGAUAAUACUUCAUUCUGUGGUGUGUUUCUCACUGAUGUUCAUAUGUUAUACUAAUGAUUUCGUGAUGGAAUGUCUAAUUUAGAAGUUUAAGCGUUUACACUUCCAGUGGUAAUCAGAAAUGUCUAUGAUGUUUUGAAUUGAUUUGAUGACUGAGGAGGAUUUUGAAUAGGUGCGGAUGUGAAUUUGAAGAACGGUGGAGGACGAACUGCGCUCCACUAUGCUGCGAGCAAGGGAUGGUUGAAGAUUGCUGAAGUGUUGAUUGCACAUGGUGCUAAAUUGAACGUGAAGGACAAGGCUUGUAAACUUUACUUGACUGUGAUUUGAAAUGUGAAUAGCGCGUUUUGUCAAGCUACAUUGUCUUAAUACGGUUUCCCUAAUGCUGAAUUCAGGUAGGAUGUACACCAUUGCAUCGAGCAGCGAGUGUCGGGAAGGCGGAGUUGUGCGAAUUCUUAGUUGAGGAAGGAGCAGAGGUUGAUGCUGUGGAUAGAGCUGGUCAAACUCCUCUUAUGAAUGCUGUGAUUUGCGACAAUAGAGAGGUGAGCUUCGGCCAAGAAUGGUUUGGUUUGUUUAUGUUGCUCGAAAUGGUAGCCCUUUGCUAUCAAUUGGAAGUUCUUUCUGAAUGCUUGUGCUGUUAACAGGUAGCUCUUCUUCUAAUAAGGCAUGGAGCAGAUGUGAAUGCGGAGGACAAAGAAGAAUACACUGUGCUUGGUCGAGCUUCGCGCGACUUUAGGGAUAUUCUCAUUGAUGCUGCAAAAGCCAUGCUUGAAGGGUGAAGCCUUCCCUCGUAACGUAACUUAGGUUUGGCUCUACAAUCAGUUGAUUGGUUAUAUUAUCUGAACACAUGCUUGUAUGGAUGCUGUAGCAGGCAACAUCUUUGAUCCUCGGUUUUAGUAGCUUCUUCAAGUUUUUUUCAGCUACAGACAGUCUUGUUAACUCCUUGUUCAUGGCUGAUAGUCAAUUCAUCAGAAAGGUAGAUAGAAUCUUGAUAAAUACGUUUGAAGCACUAGAAUCUGAGGCAGUUUCCGAUGCCAGAAAGUAUGGAGGUAAUCCCUAACUUGCCUCGGAUUCUUGAACUCACACACACCAGGUGAGUUCAAGCCUGAGGACUCAGUGAGCCACUGAGAUGGCUCUAGUGGCUAGAUGAUCGUUUGCCAGGUCUGUAGUAUAUGCUUAGUUUCGGCAUUAGGACAGCGUUACCAAGUCUUGAGAGUACUCUCUUUGUUUCUUUACAGCUAAGGUUCCCAUGCUUAGUCAAUCUACAGGUACAAACUUGGUAGGUUAGUCCAUGCGUACUACAUUCAGUGUGCAUUUAUGAACUCCUACUACAUUAGGUUUUCUCUUCUCGAAACAAGAUGCCCAUGUCGAAUUAAAUGUCGUCCAUACCGGAUGAUAAUAUUUUUUCUGAUAAUAUUUUUUCCAGGACUAUGAGGUGUUGGUUAGAACUUAAGACGUUGACAUUGAUUCUAACAGUUCCAAUACUUAAUCAGUGGCAAGUUUGAGGAAAGACUUCAUCGAGCAACGGUUUAGCCCUCGCUCGAUCUAGAGCUACCAUGAUAAUUUUCAUAGUUUAUACGUCGAACACAUUGCCUAUUUCUGCAUUCCGAUUAGUGCUUCAAAUCAUUCGAGAUUGUUACUAUGUGUAGCAUGUUUUCUACUAUAGUAAAUGUUGAGGAGUGAGAAAUUAUAAUCGAAACCUAAUGUAUGUUUCUGUAUUUGAUCAAUUCGAUCCAAUACUUUAAAUCAUCGUGACUGUCACGGAUCGACACGAUAUCGAAUUGCGUGAGAUAUUACAUUGUAUUGAAGUUAAGUGGAAAAUGGAAAUGGGUCUUGGAAGAAUUGUACUAUGUAUUGACGAGAUGGUAUGAACGUAGCCACAUGAUCCACCUAACCAAACUACCCAUAAAAACCAAAACCAUCUACAUAACCUACAAGUCCCAAGUAACACAGUCUGCGAACUCACACUUCACACUUCAGACCCCUCCGACCACCGUCAAACAAAAAUCAAUGACAACCUCCGACGACCACCGCCCACACGUAGCCCUUCUCCCAAGCUCCGGCGCCGGCCACCUCACCCCAUUCCUCCGUCUAGCAGCAACCUUACUCACCAAAAACGUCCGAGUCACCUUAAUCACCAGCCACCCAAUCGUCACCGACGCCGAGUCAUCUCUGAUCUCCCAUUUCCUCGCCGCCUUCCCACAAGUCUCAGAGCAGCAAUUCCACAUCCUACCCAUAGACCCAUCCACCGCCAACUCCACCGACCCAUUCUUCCUCCAGUGGGAAUCCAUCCGUCGCUCCCUCCACCUCCUCUCCUCCAUCUUCUCCUCCAUCUCCCCGCCGCCGGCUGCAAUGGUCUCCGACAUAACACUAAUUUCCUCAACCAUCUCCGUCUCCCAGGACCUUCAAAUCCCCAACUACGUCCUCUUCACUUCCUCCGCCAGAAUGCUGUCUUUGGUAACCCGCUACCCUGCCUUCACCAAAACCCAGAUCGAAUCCGCCGACAAGUUUGAAAUCUCGGGAAUCGGAGACUUACCCAGAUCGUCGAUCCCGCCGUUGCUUCUAAAGCCGGAGUCUUUAUUCGCCACCAUGUUCAAAUCCAACAGCGAGAAUCUCCGCAAGUUCGACGGAAUCCUGAUCAACACGUUUGACAGGCUGGAGACGGAAGCUCUGUCAGCGAUCAGGAAAGGGGAUGUUGCAGAUGGGUUACCGGAUUUGUUCAAUAUCGGAUUGAUUCCUCACGAUUUCGAGAGGAAAUCAGUGGGUGGAGGAAAGACGGAAGAGGUGAUGAAAUGGUUGGAUGGGAAGGAGGCGAAUUCGGUGGUGUAUGUGAGCUUCGGAAGCAGGACGGCUCUGUCGAGAGAUCAGAUUAAGGAGCUGGGGAAAGGGUUGGUUGAGUCAGGGUUUGGAUUUGUUUGGGUGAUGAAGGAUAAGGUUAUAGACAAGGAAGAUGGGGAGAGAUUGGAGGAUGUUUUGGGAGAGGAGAUGAUGGAGGAGGGUGGGGGAAGAGGGUUAGUGGUGAAGGAAUGGGUGGAUCAAGUUGAAGUGAUUGGGCAUGAUUCGGUUGGUGGGUUUGUGAGCCAUUGUGGGUGGGUGAGAAGAAGGUGAGGGAAUUGGCUAAGGAGAUUAGGGUUGAGAUUAGGGGUGAUGUUGGGGUUGGUGGGAGGUGUGAUUUGGGUUUGGAUUUGUUGGUUGAGAAGUGGAGUUCUUGAAUAAGUGUUUUCUACUUUUCUUAGGGGGGUUUGUGAUCCUAUAAGUAAUUCAUUGUUGAGUGAUGCUGCCUAAUGUCAUUCUCUUCUUCCGACCCUUUCAUUCACACCAAAACAAGAUUCAAUCAUUGAUAUGACUGGAAAAUUAUGUGAAUAUUGUUGGAAAUAUGUAUUUGGAUUCGACUUUGGUGUGAUGACAGCAUUAUGAACUUAAUUUUGGUGCGAUGUUAGAGUUGGGACGGAUGUAUGAACUCACGGGAAAACCUUACAUUGGUUUAUAGAAAGCUGGAACUAGCUGACAUCUGCUCCUCUAUGAGCUAAAUGAUGUUAGGGAUUGACACUAAAACUCGUCCAACUCAACCUUGAGAUGGAUGUUAGUGUCACAAGCUGCGAUAUUGAGCUGAGCUACAGUGAUGAUAGGGAGCUAGGUAGUUGGGGUGGUUACUCCUUCUCAUAGGACGAAUGGGUACACACCUCUUCGUGAGAUUCAAACUCAUUUCUAAGUUGUUUUCCUUCCAAACCCGUAGGACUUCAAGGUGGUUACCUUCAAGUCUAUCCAUGGAGAUAAUGACUCCUCUUGGUGCAUGAAUUCGUACCCCUUCAGUACUAUACUCCUUUACCUAUAUAAAGAAAGCAGUAGUGUGGGAGAAUACACAAGAAAACGAUCUAUCCUAACCUACGAUUUUAAGCGAUUCUAGUAUCUAAAGUCUAAGAACUUGAGUGGAGAUGGUCUUAUCCUCGGAAGGAAUUUCCUGAUACCCAAAAUUUGUAGGGUAGAAAUACUUUUCAUUUCUUCAAAAAGUGAUACCCAUGAUUCCGUCUUAAUCCUAAAUCUCAUCACGUAUGAAAUUCAAAUUUGUUUGGUCUUAUGACUAUAUAAACAAAUCUUAUAUUCUGACAACAAUAAUAGUUGCCUAAAUCUUUGCUAUUGUGUCAACAGUAAUUAAAAACUAUAUAUAUAUCAGAUUUAACCUGUACUUAAAGUACAAAAAAUUACCAUCCUAUUUAACGUGAUUAGCGCCGUUUUAACUUUUAACCAUACUUCCAUUGAUCCAACUAAGAAAGAAAAAGAACGGGCCUUCCAAAACUGAGGCCCAGAUGGAGGUAAGAUCCAAAACUGAGGUCCUGUCUCAGUUGCUUGCCAACUACAAGUCAGCCACUAGCUCCAAUGGCUCACUCUAUUUUUCUUUUACAAAACCAUUACUGAAGUUUUAACAUGAUAACAAACAGGUAUCGAGUGCUAAUUAAGUGGUCAAACUCCACCUACGACAACCUAGGGCUCCAAAAUGUCACAACUAUUGUUAUUGUGGAUUAUGAAUGCCCUUGUUACUCUUGUCUAAACACUGAUCAUGAAAACCAAUUACCUUCACUACUGACUUUUAUUUCUUCUUCAAGUGUGUAUUUAACUAGCUAUAUAUAUAUCAGUCAUCUAAAGAUUAUAAUCUUUUGAAUCUAUAAAUAGUUUUCUCAGCCUUGUAAGCGAUAUAUAAAAAUAUAAUAAAAAUAUCUUAUUCUCCAGACUCUUGUCUUCUUCUUUUUCUUAUUUUCAUAACAUCAAACAUACGUAUAAACAACUAUCCUUUAGAAUAACACAAUUAGUUACAUUGUGUGCUGCUUUAUACUAUUCUUGUAGAAUAACACAAUUAGUUACAUUGUGUGCUGGCAACAUAUAAAUUUUAAAUUCAAAUCUAAUACUCUAGAGUCGGUAUAAGUAUUGCCUUGUCUACGAAAAAAAUGGCCUUUUGGAUCGAGGCCUCCAGCAGCCAUACUGUCUACGGAAAAACAGCGGGCCUGACCGGUACUGAGAGAGAGAAAAAACGGGCCUGACUGGUACUGAGACUCUAAGAGAAAAACAACGGGCCUUCCGAAAUUGAGGCCCAGCCUGCUAGAAUGGAGAUAAGAUCCAAUAAGAUAGGUACACGGCUCUUCUUCAUUUCAUUGGUUUACGUUACGAAAUACUGGCCGUUAACUUUUGGACUAAAGAAGCUGGAAUCAUCACUCUACAAAGCAGGGGAGACAAAUAAGAAAUCAUGAACUCCGUCUCCCAAUCUUCGAUUUUCCAGAUUUCUUCAGCCACAUUCACCGUAGUCCCUAAACUGCCGAGCUCUCGGAAGCAGCUCCCGGUCUCAGUUGCUUGCUCCUGCAAGUCACCCACAAGCUUCAUUAAUGGCUUUUCUAAGGCUUUAGUAGCCACUGCUGCUGCUGUCGCCAUUCUCGUCUCUGCAUCGCCAGGUUCAUAACCCAGAAUUCCAUUCCCUUGAUUCUUUACUAAAACAAUGGUGGGUUGGGCUUUGCUUAGCCCAAAGAUUCCACCUUGAUUAUUUGUGAUGCCUAUUAGGAACUAUGAGUGAUUGAGAUGAAACAGUACAUACUGACACCGACUUUGAGGUCAUGAUGUUUUGUUGUUUAGAGGGUUUGUCAAGGAAUGUUAGAUGUUCGUUGGGAUCGGACCAGACUCGGGUUCGAAUAUAAAAGUAUGGAACCCUCCCAUCUUGCCAGUUCUGGUCCACUCGAAAAACCUGUCAUUUGGUGUCAUUGAAGAACUAUUAAAACCUCCAAAACCGUUUGAAUCGUUCAGUUUGAUUCUAUCGUUCGUUAGUUCGACUCAAAAGUAUCUAACGAUGUGUAUGAAAUAGAAAUCAUGAAUGUUAAGUGACUGUGUCUGUUAUGUUACCGUGUUCUGUUAAAAUUGAUGUUUAUAAAUAAUGUAAUUUGGUCAUUCACAUGCACUUCCUUUUUGCAGCAAAAGCUGGAUUGAUGUCAGGCUUCUCUGGGAUAGAAUCAGUACCAGGUCCUGAACUGCCUAAGAUGGACUUCCUCACUCGUUUCAAUGGUUUGAUCCAAUUCUUCUUUCUCUAUGUAGACAAAUAUUGAAACACUUCUUGUUCUGUUCCUGCUCAGUUUCAGUAAUUUCUCACCAGUUUAUGGCUGCAGAUGAGAACCAGAAGAAGUAUGCUGAGGAUGAUGCAAGAUUCAAAUCAUCUCCUAUUCUCAAGGAGCUUCUUGAGAAAUCCAAGCUCAACCAAGAAAAGUAAAUGCUUAGUUAUAUUAUAUCUACUUGUAUAGAAUCUCACACAUAUGUGCUUAGUGGGAAUCAUAAAUCAAUGGCAUAUAUUUUGUGAGCAGGAACAAGAAGGAGAUACAGGACAAGUACUGCAUUCGAGGGGCGGAAUGGGGGGUUGGUGAUUGUUCAGCAGAGGGUAUGACUCCACAGCAGAAAGAUGAGUUCAUAGCAAUGCUGAAACAGAAGGCUGGAAUCAAAGAAUGAACCUUCUGCAACAUUCCUUCACACUUGUGGUAGACAGAACAGUUUUAGCACAUAUGGUUAUGUCCCAUAGGUCAAGUCAGUAAAUAUCAAACAAUUUGAGGGGACACUGAUGUAACCCCCUUUUGGCUGAUCUCCUUGCCGAUGACCUUGUUUGGUUUGAUGCCAUUUUCCCCUUUGGUGUUUGUUUGAUGCCAUUAUUGCAUCUCAUGAAAGGAACCUGUUUUUCUUGCUGGUUUUGACGCUCAUAUGAUCAUGCACUUGCUCGCCAUGUCCGGUUUUCAGCUUCACCAUUUUCGAGUGAUGCCUCUUCUAGUUGGUCGGAGGAUGCUUUACUUUCUGUAUACAUAAACACUGAGCACUAAAUUAAUGAAAUGAUGAUGAUUUUACUCUAAAAAGAGCGCUGUAGUAAAUAGAUUUUGCUCCAAACUACUAUGCAUUUCUCUAUCAUUCAUUAUCUAUCUCAAUUGUAUCAUAAUUCAUCUCAUAAUCAUCUUAAAGAAUUUGAGAAUUGUGCCAAAUCAUGCAUGAGUUAAGCUCUAAGUCAAUCUUAAUUCUAAUUUGAUACUUAGGUAAUAUUUAGGGUCAUUCAAAAGUUUUAAACUUUUGAUUCUAAUAAUUACUCGAUUCUCUACUCCUCUACUCAAUAAAUUAUUUCAACCUAAAGUCAAAUAUGGUUUAUUUUAAUUGGCCUCAAUAUGAAUGUAUAUCUAUAAUAUUGGGUACUAUAUAGAAACCACAACAAAAAUGGAGGACUAAUACAUAUGUUUUCUUCCUUCCGCAAAAGAAAACAAACCGAGUUCUAUGAAUUAUUAUAUUCCCUCAUAAUUUAGGAACAGAUUUCUGGCCGAAUGAGCUCUGCAAAAAAUUGCAAGCUCACCGAAGCCAACCAGCCAGCCCAGCAAGCACAAUCAUAAAGAAGUACCGUAUCUUCCCCCACGAACCCAAUCAAAUCAAAUAAAUCUUCUUCAUUGAUCCCUCGGUAUGUUCUUUGAAUCUCAAAAUUUUCCUCCGUUCCCACCUCAAUUUUCCCCUUCUGGGUUUGUUUGUUUGUUUUUUCACGAGAAUUUGAGAUUUAGAGGUCUGGAUUUCUUUUGGGUUCUUUCUUAUUUGCUUGGUUUGUCGACAAAGAGGCUGAAUUGGAUUGUGAUUUUGGUUUGAAGCUGUUCUGGGUUUUUUCCCAAUUUCCAGGUUGCAAAAUGAAGAAACUUGUUCAGUGUAUUUUGAAGUAAAGCUGAUAACUUUUUGAUUUGAAGAUGAAUGGCUAUAAAUAUCUCCGUUAAAUGUUUAAUGCUGUGUAGUUAAGAUGGUUGAAUAUCCAAUAACUCGAGUUGUUUGGAGGUUCAUAGUUGAUCUAUAUAGCAUUCCUGAACACGUCAGAAAAUCGAAGUUUGCACAGUGAAAUGGUUAUAUGGGAGCUAAUAGGAUUCAGUGCUAGGACCUUUCGAUGAAAGGCUUUGAUAUCAUGUAAAGAACCGUUGUAUCCUAGUAACACUUAGCUGUUAGGAGAGCUUCAUAGUUGGUCUGUAUAAUAUUCCUUAACAUCUUUAAUUGUAAUGAUGCAGAUCUAAUUGCACUUAUUUUCUUGCUGUAAUUUUGCAGGAACUUCCAUACUCUUUGAGCUCUGAAAUCUCAGUGAUCUUUGGAUUCAGGAGGGGUGAACUGAUAGUUUGGAGGAUAUGUACAGGGGUGUGUCUUCGGCUGCCACCACCCGUGGUGGUUCCCCCACGGACAGUGGGGAUUCUGUUGUGACAUUAGAUCAAGUUCCACGAUGGAGCGAUGUAGAGAGUAGGCCUACUUAUGGUUAUGAUAACAUGGAUCCUUCAUUUGCAAAUCCAUUCUUCCCUGAUCCUUUAGCAUCUAGUCCUGAUGGGGAUAACAAUGGGAAUGGAGUGGUAUCGAGAUUCCCGGUUGACCAUGAAAUCAACUCCAAGAUACAUCUAUGGAGAGGAAACCCGUGGAAUCUUGAGGUUGAUGCGGUAGUGAAUUCGACAAACGAGGUGAGCACAUAGGAAUCCGUAAAGUGGAAAUGAGGAUUUGUCAAGUUACUAUUGCUGACAUGUUUCUGCAUUACCGGUUGCAGAACCUCGACGAAGCACACAGCAGUACUGGUCUGCAUGCUGCAGCUGGACCCGGUCUUGCAGAGGAAUGUGCAACACUGGUAUAUUCUCGAUCGAUUGAUAUAGGCCAUGUUAUUUAUGUAGUAGUAAUUCUAUCAAUGUGGUUAACUUAAGUUCAAAAUUUUGGAAAUGCUGAUAGGGUGGAUGCAGAACAGGAAUGGCAAAAGUUACUAAUGCAUAUGAUCUUCCUGCUAGGUUUGUACACACUCAUGAUACUGCUAAUUUCGAAACAAUUGCGCCGGUUCUGGUCUAAGAUAAAGCUGAUAAUUGCAUCCCUGAUUUUGUGGCAGGAGAGUUAUUCAUACCGUCGGUCCAAAGUAUGCUGUGAAAUAUCAUACUGCUGCCGAGAACGCCUUGAGCCACUGUUAUAGAGCUUGCCUUGAGUUACUCAUUGACAAUGAGCUUGAAAGGUCCUUACUUUCUUAUCGUUUGUCAAUUUCAUUUAUCGGUUAUGAAACAUUGAACUGACUUCAAAUUUGAGUUUAAUAAACACAGCAUUGCUAUGGGAUGUAUAUAUACUGAAGCUAAAAACUAUCCCCGUGAACCAGCUGCACAUGUUGCUAUAAGUAAGUUCAGUUCCUUUGAGCUUGAAUGCACUGACUAUUCAUGGUUUCAGUAUUACUGUUUAUAACUGGUUUUGGAUGUUUGCAUUCUGUUCAGGAACUGUUCGGCGUUUUCUUGAGAAGCAGAGGGAUAAGAUUACAGCAGUUGUAUUUUGUACCACCACCACGAUUGAUACUGAAAUAUAUAAAAGGUAUCUAAGCAUGGGGAGUCUCUUUUUAUAGCCUUGGAAAUUCCAAUAGUAUGAACUUGUCAACUAUCGUAACUUGAUUCCGGAUUCUUUUUCUCAUCUGCUUAUGUGCAUCGUAGGCUGCUGCCACUCUAUUUUCCGCGAGAUAAACACGAAGAGGAGGUGGGCAUAUCCAAACUUCCCGCUGAUGUUGGGGACGAGAAUGGAGAGACGACAAUAGAUGAACGCAAAAUCAGAAUAAAGCCUUUGCCCAAGAAAAACAUUCCGAAACCUCCUGAAACUCACGAAGAGCUACCUAUUAACGACGUGAGCUUGGUGCGAAGGUCAGUCAUUCUCAUUUUGAAAACAAGGGGAAAAAUAUCCCUAAUGCUUCGGUAAACUGACUGCUUUUGUUAUAAUAUUUGCAGAGACUCCGCAUAUUUGGAUUCAUAUUUGGAUCCAGCGUUCAUGUCCUUAAUAAAGGAUCCAGAUCAGAGACGCAGGGAGCAGUGGGAAAAAACUGCUCAAGCACAAAGCGGGUUUAACUUCGCCAAGCUGCUUGGUUUUGGCGAUCUCGGUGGUCCUCCUUUGUCUGUUGCCGAAGAGUACUCUUUGCAUUCUCGAUAUCUCGCUAAAGCUAACUCUCUUAAUCUCUCCGAAAUUGCAGAGAUGAAAAUUGUGUAAGCAUCCUCUUCUCUCUGCCAUAUAAUGACUUCUUUAGUGUCUGCCUCAAUUUUUUUUAUGGAUUAUUGAUGCCUUUUGUAUUGCAGUUACCGCGGUGGGGUAGACAGCGAAGGCCGGCCAGUAAUGGUCGUUGUGGGAGCACACUUCUUGCUAAGAUGUCUUGAUCUGGAGAGAUUUGUGCUUCACGUCAUCAAGGUAAUUCACUCUGCUGUCGUUUGUCAUAUUUUCCACCUCGAUUAAUCUUCGCUGCAGAAAACUGAAAGAGAAUCUACUUCGGUGAAUAUUCCAGGAAUUCGAGCCUUUGAUCCAGAAGCCAUUUUCGAUCGUGUAUUUCCAUUCUGCAGCAUCGUUACAGCUGUAAGUAUAAUUUAUAGCAAGCUAUAAUUAUAAGACGUAAUCGACCUAUUAUAAUUUAUAACAAGUUAUAGUUAUAACUAGUUAUUAUUAGUUAUAAUAACUUGUUCUGCUUGGCUAAUGUCUUUGGUACCAACUGUCACAUGUACUUGUUCCGUGAAAUGCAGGCAACCGGACUUGGGAUUCAUGAGGAAACUACAGCAAAUACUUGGCCGAAAACACCAGAGAAAUCUCCAUGUAUGUACCCACUUCCACACCAUUCCAAGCAAACUUACUAAUGACUGAUCUUCAGCUUGAUUUGUUCAUGAUCCUCUCUAUGCAGGCAAUCUAUGUCCUCCAUCCGACAUUACAUCUAAAAGCGGUAGUUCUUGGGAUGCAAAUGCUGGUAGAUAACGUGGUAAGUCUAGCUUUACUCCCUAACCACAGUGCAGCUCCCUCAAAAGACUUUAUAUUGACUAACACCAUUUCUGCAAUUGAUGCACCUAGACAUGGAAGAAGGUCGUAUACGUAGACAGGCUUCUGCAACUCUUCAAAUACGUCCCCCGCGAGCAAUUGACCAUCCCCGAUUUUGUCUUCCAGUUAAGAAUCUUAUCUAACGAGCUUUCUACCAUUAAACCAGAUAAACCUUCUAAACCCCUUUUUUCUGCAGGCACGACUUGGAAGUCAACGGAGGGAAGGGUCUUAUCAUAGACCCGCGAACGAAAUAUGUGUACCAACGACCCUCUUAGGCACACGAUCGACACAGCAAAUAUGAUGACUUUCUGAACAGCCCUGCCACAUCUCCAACUUUGAAUCGACCUUCGGUUUGCCUUCUCGACGGGCAUCGCUUCGAUCCCUGCAGUUCUGUGUACAAAAGAAAUGUAUCUCAACUCAAAGUUCUUUACUUUCUUACCGUUUGUUGGUGUUGAUUUGGAAUAUCAUGUCAGAAGAAUAGCUUAGUGUAUCUCUCCAUUGUUUUAUUCCAUUUUGAUGUUUUGGGGGAAGGUCACCUGGGUUUGUUGACGAUGAUCAUAAGCUUAAUAAGAAAUUUAGUUCCUUUUUUCUCUGUAAAUCAAAGUUGUAAUCUAAGCCUGUUAACGACGGUAUUAUGGCGAACCUUUAGCGACGAUUUUAUCAUCCAACUUAGCGACGAUACGAACGAUGCCGUAUUUAAAAAUGUUAUUCUAGAUGUCAACAUCUGAACGGGGGACGCAUGUUAAUUACGAUGGCCUCGUAUGCAGAAAGAUGAAAUCCAGUCCCUUCUCUGGUAUCCAAAAGUUUCUCUUUUUCCCAAUCCAAAAAUUUGUGAAGCAGACGAAAAGCAGCUCGCUUUACAUUAAUCGGAGGUUGAUUCAGGCUCCGGCAGCUCGCCGGUGACCUCUUCUGGCGAUCACCAGCGAUAUUUUCCUAAACUGGGUUUAGCUUCAAUCUUUUCGCCACAGGUUUUCAUCCAGUAAUUCAGAGUUAGAUAGCUAGAGAUUAAGAAUUCCUCACUUUAUGAGCUCAUUCAUUUGGUUUUUUGGUUAUUGUUUCAGCUAUAGCCGAUUGAUUGGUCGAAGUAUGCUCCGAGGCCAAGGUCUGUCGCCAGGCACUCUAACAACGUACGGUAACUGUGGGAUUUCCGCAAGGAUUCCAUGUUGGAGGAGGCAUUUUAAGCUUGAAUGGAAGACCAGUAGAUUACACUUCGGAUUUGGUAUGGAUUUGGCGAGCAAGUGUAAUAAUAAUAAUGUAAUGGGGAGAAGGAGUUUGAGAGUUGAAGCUGGAUGGCUGUUCAGUGGCAACAGUGGGAAUCAAGACUCGAAUUCGGGUGCAAGACUCGAGCAAAGCGAGAGCGUGAAUGAGGACAUUCUCAUCUUCUUCUUCCAGCUUGAUCUCGCAACUCGUGUUCAGGUCUGUGAGAUUUUUGGUUUAUGUUUCGGGGGAGGAGUUACGAAUUUUGUUGUUGAUUUACAAUGCGGAUGAUUUGCAGUGUGCUCUGAACAUGGAACAAUAUGACGUUGCUCAACAGCUCAGAAACAAGCUUACUGAGGUUAGUUCCUAGUUUUCGGCACAGUAUAUCGGUGUUCAUUUGCUAUCGUUCUGUUGUUGCCAAAUGUGGAUAUAUGUGAUUGUCCAUGUUCAUGUAAAUCAACUACUUGAUCAGAUUUCACGAUUCAUUUUCGUGUUUGUUAUUACUCCGAAGCUUUGCCACAUUAGCAGCAAGCUGAUUAGUUUCUUGUGUUUGUGUAUCCUCUGAAAAGGUUGAGCAAGACAUUGUGAAGCGAAGGGACACCACAAGAGGAACAUCCUCGAAGAGUGAAGCGCAAGACAAGGCGAUUAAUAUGAUAAGACUACGGUAAGGCUCAGGCUUCUUCAACGGUUUCUCGAUUUAAGCUGAUGUUGAUGUUGUCCUGCUCUU
rnacentral:lncRNA from 1 species